AUUGAACGCUGGCGGCAGGCCUAACACAUGCAAGUCGAGCGGGGUUUUCGGACCUAGCGGCGGACGGGUGAGUAAUGCGUAGGAAGCUGCCCGAUAGAGGGGGAUACCAGUUGGAAACGACUGUUAAUACCGCAUAAUGUCUACGGACCAAAGUGUGGGACCUUCGGGCCACAUGCUAUCGGAUGCGCCUACGUGGGAUUAGCUAGUUGGUGAGGUAAUGGCUCACCGAGGCGACGAUCUCUAGCUGGUUUGAGAGGAUGAUCAGCCACACUGGAACUGAGACACGGUCCAGACUCCUACGGGAGGCAGCAGUGGGGAAUAUUGGACAAUGGGCGCAAGCCUGAUCCAGCCAUGCCGCGUGUGUGAAGAAGGCCUUCGGGUUGUAAGGCACUUUCAGCGAGGAGGAAGGGUGGUGUGUUAAUAGCACAUCAUUUUGACGUUACUCGCAGAAGAAGCACCGGCUAACUCUGUGCCAGCAGCCGCCGUAACAC
rnacentral:rRNA from 1 species